rnacentral:lncRNA from 1 species
UGCCAAAUUUCAGCAUUUUUCGUUUCUUCUUCAUUUUCGCUCGUUUUCGCUCGUUUGGCCUCCGAUUCAUUUCAAAUCGCACCGAGACUCUCAAAACAUAUUUUCGAGCGUAUUUGCAUCAUUCUUUCAUCCAUGCUAAUGUCGGAUUUAGUUCAUGGUCCAACAUAACUUUUCGGGUUCCGUUUUCGCACCUACGCGCACCGAAACGCCCGAAUGCUCUUGAACUUCACCGAACUUCACCGGAACCAUUCAAAUGGCUUUCCAGCCAAAUGUACACCGUAACUUCAUAAUUUUAGAAGUCCGGUAUCUUACAAUAU